rnacentral:misc_RNA from 1 species
GUAUUGAUUGCGGGUUAGCGCAUAAAUGAGGUCAUUCUACACUUUUUAAAAGGGGUGUUUGUGUGAAAACGCGAGCCCCCUCCGAGAUGAUCCCAAAGGGUGCCCACGCGGUGAUGCACAAAGGGUGAGAUGGAUUAUUAUGUGAGGAAACACACCCGGGCGUGCACGACAUUGAGUCAGCGACAGCCCUUGCACCUCAGUUUUACAAUAAUGAUCCUUCCGCAGGUUCACCUACGGAAA